AGUGCUUGCUGCUUGGUAAUGAGAUUCAGUGUUAUGGGGCUGUUAUUUUUAGCAUUUAAACUAUGAAAAUCUCAUUCUCUCCCCAGAGGCCUCCUCUCUGCCAUUCUUUAGCACAUCAGGUGAGAAAUCAAGUGUCAUCUUUGAAAAAUGAUAACAGAUCCCAAGUUAGCUUGUAAAAAAUACUGCUGUCCCCCCAGUUCUGAGUGUUUGGUGUGGCAGGAGUCUUCUCAUAAAUUGGAAUUUUGAUUUGAGGUGAAGAGGGGAAGGACAAACAGGGCGAGGACAUUUAAAGUGUCUUGAGUUAGAGAAGGAAGAACUAGAUAUAUAGAAAAUCUAAAAUAAGACAGAACUUGAUUUUAUUCUUAGUGAAUAAUUAAGCACAAAUGUCCACCGCAAAUAUGUGUGCAUAUUUGUAUAUAUGACUUUACAUACAUAAAUGUAUGUAUAUAUAGCUGCAUCUCCCAUAUGUGUGUAUGUCUAUGCCUGUUUUCAGAUAUCCUUUCGAUAUAUUCUCUGAAUGCUUUUUGAUGUUCUUGUUCUAAAUUUUCUUUGGUCAUGUUCCUAUUUUAUGCCUGCAUUUGUACCCAUCAAAUCCUUUUAGCAGAGAUAGUAAAGUGGUUGCAGUAUUUUUAAUUUUUUAAUUUUUUUUGGCCACACCUAUGGCAUGCAGAAGUUCCUGGACCAGGGAUUGAACCCAUGCCACAGCUGUAACCAGAGCCACAGCAGCAUCAAUGCCAGAUUCUUAACCUGCUGUGCCAUGAGGGAACUCCAAAAUGAUUGCAAUCUUAAAGGUCUGAAGGCUCUUCUACUUUGACUAUGUAAGCUCUAGAGACAGAGAUUGCUGUUGUUCUAUUUUUAUCCUGUUUACUAUUGCCUAAGUCCAUCCAAUUAGUAAAAGGCAGGAGGCUUAAGCAAAAAGAUACACUUGCUUCAAAUUUCAGAUUAAUAACUUCCAAAUGAAUAUUUCCAGUAUUAACCUUUUCCAUAAGUUCCAAACUUGUUAAGUCCAACUGCCUACUGGCCAAAUCCACCUGGAUACAUAACAUGUAUCUCAAAACUUAAUAUAUCCAUAUCAAACUCUUAAUUCAGUUCAUGCCCAUUCUUGAUUUUAUUCUAUUGCAACUUUCUGAUUUUCAGUAAAUGCCAUCAGUUUUUUGGGUCAGAAAUCAUGAAGUCAGCCUUGAUUACACUUUUCCUCUCAGCCCUGAACCCAAUCCAUCAACAAAUUCUGUCAGCUCUACUUUCAAAAUAUAUUCAGAAUCUGACCAUCUGCCAUCUCUGCUACUCCCACCCUGAACAAGCUACCAUGCUCUGCCUUUAUUAUUACAGUAGCCUCCUAAUGAGUUUUAUCCCCUUUCUAGUCUAUUUUCCAACAACCAUCAACAUGGUCCUUUAAGAACCUUGGUCAUAUUGCAGCAGUCUUAAGUUCAAAACCCUCCAAUGGCUUUUGAUGACAGCAGUUGUGAAAGUAAAAAGCAAAGGAAAAGCCAGACCCUUUACCUUGGCUGCAAGGCCCUAUGCUCCCCUCCUGUUCCCACUGCCUCCUGCUUACUCCUCAGCACUCUCAUCGUCAUCCACACUUGUCCCCCUGCUCCCUGUGUAUGUAUACUAUUCAAGAUAAAUUGGGCCAUAUUAAAAAUACUGAGUUUAUUUGAGCAAAAGUGCAUUUGAAUUCAGUAGCAUCCAGUCUAAUAGAUAGAAAGAACCUCCACCAAGCUGUAGAAAAUCUUCCCCUUUCUAGAAAGCCAGAAGGGAAUGGGAACAGGAAGUUUCACUAGAGAGAAGAGUGGGCUGGUUACUGCAAACUUACUUUGCUUGAGGAAAUGCCAAUCUCUCAAGGCCCAUAGGUACUCCCAAGUUAACCCAAAAAAAGAGACUUAGACAAUUACUUCCCAGAGUUAUCAAAACUUGGAAGGACCCAGUGGAGUUCCUGUUGUGACUCAGUGGGUUGAGAGCCUGACAUAGUGUCUGUGAGGAUACAGGUUUGAUCCAUGACCUUGCUCGGUGGGUUAAGGAUCCACCGUUGCCAAGAACUGUGGUGUCGGUCACAGAUACAGCUUGGAUCUGGUGUUGCUAUGACUGUGGCAUGGACUGGCAGCUGCAGCUCUGAUUCUGCCCCUAGCCUGGGAACUUCCAUAUGCCAUACGUGUAGCCACUUUUAAAAAAAUUACAGGUACUCUAGAUACAAGUGAAGUGCAACCCACACUUCCGUCCAGCCAAAUUUUGCAUCCCCUGACCCUGAUGGUUGCCAAGCCAAGUCUCAGGAUACAAAGCAAGACAAACAAGAAGGCAAUAGCUGUCCCUGAGAGAUAAAGGAUCGCCAACCAGAGGAUGAUACCUGAAAGCAAAUUCUUGAGUCACAGAGAUUGAAUUCUUGCACAUAUUUUUGCCUGCCAAUCUGAAUUUGGAAAAGAAGGGACAGUAUGAUUUUACCUUCUGUGUUUUUUUGGGGGGGCACACCUGUGGCAUAUGAAGGUUCCCAGGCUAGGCGUGUAAUCAGAGCUGUAGCCGCUGGCCUACACCACAGCCACAGCAACAAGGGAUCUGAGCCUCAUCUGCAACCUACACCAUAGCUCAUGGCAACGCUGGAUCCUUAACCCAUUGAGUGAGGCCAGGGAUCGAACCCGUAAUCGCAUGGCUCCUAGUCGUUUCCACUGUGCCAUGAUGGGAACUUCUACCUUACUUUCUUGAUAAGGCACUCCAGAUAGAGAUCUGGAGAGCUGACUUUGGUAAGAAUUCCCACCCUGUUUAGCUUCUGCCAGUUUUUCCAGGAUCCCGUCUGCAGGCUCUGGAGUGAGUGGGUGUCCCAGUGGGGCCCAUGCUGGGCAGCAGAAACUGUAGAAGAGGAAAAAUAAUUUCUCCUCUACCCUCUAUGGGAGUGCUUGGCUGAGACCCCCUUUUCUCUAGGAUAUCUCAACUGUGGAUAUGCUUAUCUAGGUUAAAACUUUUCCACUGUAACCCUGUAAUUCAAGAUUAUCUUUGAUAAGUUUAACCUGCUUGUUUAGCCUUAAAACACAUUUCAUUCCCUUGAGACUUUACCCUGGACCCAGUCCAGGUUAAGCUGGUCCCAGUUCAACCCUAGAUCUGGUAUGGUUUCCAAGUUGGACCCAUGCUGACCCUGGGACUGGUCUGGUUUCAAGGUCAGACCCCUUCUGAUCACAGACCCAGUCUGGUUUUUAAGAUGGACCCAGUGUGACUCAACUGGUUUCCAUAUCCAGUCCACAAAAGAAAUGCUCAAAUAAAGCCUGAAAUCUUACAAUGCAGAGGCCAUGGAGGGACUAUGUGUCCAAGAAGGACUGACCCACCACCUCCAGAGGCAGUGAGAUGGCAGAGAGCCUGGGAACUCAUCAGGUACUUGCACUUGGUUGCUCCUGCCUCCUGGGACCACUGGGGAUCUCCCUUAACCCUUCUCCUGACACCAGGCCUGUUAAGAGAUAGUGAGGCAUAUUAAAAAUGUUGAGUUUAUUUGAGCAAAUAUCGAUUUGAGUUGGGCAGCAUCCAGUCUAGCAGAUAGAAGCUCUGAAGAGCUGUACCGAAGGAAAGACAUUUAUAGCCAGAGGGGAGCAGAAUGAGGAAAUUAAACCAGGCAAAAAAGCAGCGUGGCUAUUGCAAGUUUCCUUUCCUGUGGCAGUGGCAGGGGUCUGUCAGGUGGGAGUGGGGAUACCCAACUAGUAGUCAUCAGGCACCUCGAGAAUGACUCUUUACGAUCCCAUUUCUGGGAGAGCUGAUGUAUAAGUACAUGAAGUCUCAGUUUGGUGACAUGAAGUUUAGCCUAAAUGACUCCAUUUAGGGUCUGUUGUCUUGUUUUCUAAGAGUGUGACCCAUUUGCCUUUGGUUGGCUCUGCCAGGAUGUUUUUUUUUUCCCCACAAUCAUGCGUAUUGAUCUCCCCACUAAUUUUGUCUCUUCUUGAAUGCCACCUCCUCAGAGAGAUUAUCUUUGAGCAUUUAAAAUAAUGGGAGUUCCCAUAAUGGUUCAGCAGUAAUGAACCCAACUGGUAUCCAUGAGGACGUGAGUUCAAUCCCUGGCCUUGCUCAGUGGGUUAAGGAUCCAGCUUUUCUGUGAGCUGUGGUGUAGGUCGAAGAUGUGGCUCAGAUCUGGUCAAUAGGCUAUGGCUGUGGUAUAGGCCAGUGGCUAUAGCUCUGAUUCAACACCUAGCCUGGAAACUUUCAUAUGCCACAAGUGUGGCCCUAAAAAUACAAAAUGAAAUGAAAUGAAAAUUUUAAAAUUCUCCUCUUCCCUAUCUUCCCAACUCUGCAUCCCUUGAUCUGUUUUAUUUUUCUUCAUAAUACUCAUCACCCCAUCUGACAUACUCUUAUUUGUUUGCUCUCAUCCCAAUACAAGCUUCCCAAGGAAGGUUUAAAGUUUGUUGUUUUUUUCCAAGUUGUAUCUCUGGUGCCUAGAACAAUAUCUGUCAUGUAGCAGUUGCUCAAUAAUUAUUUGUUAAAUAAACAGGUUGAAUGAGUACUCUGGAAAACUUUCUACAAUGUUCCCAUAAAUUCAUUCUGGCUUCAGGGCCGUUAUUUUAUUUUGAUACUCUGGGAAUUGCACUGUGAUCUAUAGUUUGGAUGUGAAGUUUGUCCAUUCUCUGUCUCUUGUCACCCACCAGAAGCUCCUUAUUCUCAGGUAGGAGCUGAUUAAGGCAGAGGGAUCUCAAAUCCACGCAAAGUGUGGGGUG
rnacentral:lncRNA from 1 species